GGGUUAAGAUUUCCCGAGCCGGGAUGUGGCGGUUGACGGCGACGUUAGGAAGUCCGGAGACGCCGGCGGGGGCCUCGGGAAGAUGUAUCUUUUCUGCUUAACGGCCUGCCAACCCUGGAAACGGUUCAGCCGGAGGUAGGGUCCAGUGGCCGGAAGAGCACCGCACGUCGCGCGGUGUCCGGUGCGCCCCCGGCGGCCCAUGAAAA
rnacentral:ncRNA from 1 species